CACUCCUCCCUUAAAAAAACACUCAUCUCUCUCCUCGUGCACUGCCGCCGAGAUGAACCGCCGCCGUGGUCGACAGUUUCCGAUAUGGCCUCCUCGAAUCCGUCCUCCCUGCUCCUGAUAACCAUUGAUUCAUUCUCCCAUUGUCAGUUGGAUGCCGCUGAAUCGAUCAGGCGAUCUGUACCCCCGGUGCAUCAUCCCGGUCCGCUCGGUCUGGCGGCUCUCCAGCCCCCGAUUUGGCUAUAGGCCGGUAGAUCUGGGAGGCCACCACAACAAGCAUCCUUGAACUUUACCUCAAAUCAUUCAUCUUGACAUUUACAGGUACACAUACGUUGGUAUGUAUCCAUCCUUGGCUGCUCUAAUCAUUUUCAUUUGCUUCAGUCCCCAAUCUAGUUCGCAGGAAACGUAGAUGUAGUAGAAUCUUCUCAAUUGUAUAUUUUUUGGUCAAUUCCUGAAUUUCUCGUCAAACCAUGGAAUAAUUUCUGAUCCUUCAUCGUGGAUAAAUUGCUGAAUUGUUUUUCAUUCGUAUCCUACAUGCAUCACCAUUUGUUACCGAAACAUAAAGUCCUAUUUGUCAGAUUUUUUUUCAGAUCUUGCAGAUAGUUUUUUCAAGUUUAGCAAUGAGCAGACUCUUAACUUAUGUACCUGCAACUGCAAACUUGCAGUACUGUAGAUGGGAAGUAACAUUGGUGAGAUCGAACAUCCUCUGCCCAAGAGGUUAUUUAGAUUUUACCAUGUACUGUUGCUUGUGUUAGCAUUCGGUCCUGUAAGAUUCUGUACAAAAAUUAAUUAGGAACACUCUUAGAUGUUCGCGCUGUGGUCAGUGGCCGUUGAUUCACAGCAGGUGGAGCAGGCCUGUAGUGUCGCUAGUGUUCCUCAUCAUCGGGUUAUAUUGGUCGUUGCAUUCUUGUUGAUGUGGUUUGCAUCUCCAUCUCCUCCUACCAUGAUGGUUGGUGACUAGCCAUUCGCGGCUGGAGCUAUUCAAUAUUGCAUCUUCUCCGUCAAUUUACAUCAGUAUGUGUCAAAUUAAACUUAUUCGCAGGUGCAUUCGAGUGAGAGCUAUGGACACUUGAGUGCUGACCGGAUCUAAACUUAUUCCAGAUUUUGGACUAGGAGAAGCUUUCCGCCCUGCAAGUAUGUAGAUGUAUUCCAGAGCAAGGAAAAAAACACCAAGUGAGAUGUAUUCCUUGCCAUUUUACUAAGCAGGUGCAUUCAUAUUCUUUUUAUGUCCUGUUUGACAAUGUAUACAAUUGAUUGCUUUGAAAUGCCUACAUUACGGGAGUACAAUAAAGUGAGUUGAGAAUAUUGUUCUUGAUUGAGUAAAAAACACUGAUUUAACUCAUGCUUUUCUGUUGACAUACACUCACAUUAUGGAUUGAAGUUCUCAUGAUGGUAAUGAUGAGUGUGCAAGGGCCGUACAGGUCAUACAUAGGUCUAAUUAACAAAUCACAGAAAGGAGAGGAGGAAGCUGAGCAACACUCCUUUUUCUUUUUGGAACCUGCACCAUUGGCAUUUGAAUCCUCCUCGGAAGAGAAACAUGGUAUUAGCUAGUGCCAAAAAUGCCAACACAACUUGGCCAUGCUGCUAUCAACUUGCCUUGGUCCAAUACUUGCAAGCUUCUUCAUCUAUAACAAACAUCAAUCCUGGGAGCACUAGUUAAAGAGUUGGUGUUCUAUAGUCUAGCAAAAAGAUAUAGAGGAAGUCAUUGCCACUACUCCUACCAGAAGAUUAAGUUUAAGAAGAAAAUUUCUUGUUCUGGCUCCUGAUUAAUUGCCACUGAACUUAUCCACAUGUUAAUGUCAUAAUUGUUAUUGCUCUGCUACUUAGUUGCCAGUACAUUUUCUGUUUUCGAAAGAGCCCAAAAUUUACACAUCUAUGUUAUACAUGUCUCUGCCGGUGUC